GACCUCGCCCAGAUUGGAGUGAGCAUCGUGAUUCUUGUUUCAAUCCAUACAAGUAUUUUCUAUAUGUACAGAUGAUGUAGAAAAUCUUGUGUGGAUUGAUACCAGGGUCAUAUAUACUCAGAGGUC
rnacentral:pre_miRNA from 1 species